UACGGAGGGGGCUAGCGUUGUUCGGAAUUACUGGGCGUAAAGCGCACGUAGGCGGCUUUGUAAGUUAGAGGUGAAAGCCCGAGGCUCAACUCCGGAAUUGCCUUUAAGACUGCAUCGCUAGAAUUGUGGAGAGGUGAGUGGAAUUCCGAGUGUAGAGGUGAAAUUCGUAGAUAUUCGGAAGAACACCAGUGGCGAAGGCGACUCACUGGACACAUAUUGACGCUGAGGUGCGAAAAGCGUGGGGAGCAAACAGGG
rnacentral:rRNA from 1 species